rnacentral:rRNA from 1 species
AUCUUGGUUCAGGACGAACGCUGGCGGCGUGCCUAACACAUGCAAGUCGAGCGAGGAGAUUCCUUCGGGAUGAUCCUAGCGGCGGACGGGUGAGUAACACGUGGGCAACCUGCCUCAUAGAGAGGAAUAGCCUUCCGAAAGGGAGAUUAAUACCUCAUAACAUUGCAGUUUCGCAUGGAACAGCAAUUAAAGGAGUAAUCCGCUAUGAGAUGGGCCCGCGGCGCAUUAGCUAGUUGGUGAGGUAAUGGCUCACCAAGGCGACGAUGCGUAGCCGACCUGAGAGGGUGAUCGGCCACAUUGGGACUGAGACACGGCCCAGACUCCUACGGGAGGCAGCAGUGGGGAAUAUUGCACAAUGGGGGAAACCCUGAUGCAAGCAACGCCGCGUGAGCGAUGACGGCCUUCGGGUUGUAAAGCUCUGUCUUCAGGGACGAUAAUGACGGUACCUGAGGAGGAAGCCACGGCUAACUACGUGCCAGCAGCCGC